rnacentral:rRNA from 1 species
GACGAACGCUGGCGGCGUGCCUAAUACAUGCAAGUAGAACGCUGAAGGAGGAGCUUGCUUCUCCGGAUGAGUUGCGAACGGGUGAGUAACGCGUAGGUAACCUGCCUGGUAGCGGGGGAUAACUAUUGGAAACGAUAGCUAAUACCGCAUAACAGUAGAUAUCGCAUGAUAUCUGCUUGAAAGUUGCAAUUGCAUCACUACCAGAUGGACCUGCGUUGUAUUAGCUAGUUGGUGAGGUAACGGCUCACCAAGGCGACGAUACAUAGCCGACCUGAGAGGGGGAUCGGCCACACUGGAACGGGGACACGGCCCAGACUACUACGGGAGGGAGCAGUAGGGAAUCUUAGGCAAUGGACGGAAGUAUGGCCGAGCAACGCCGCGGGAGUGAAGAAGGGUUUCGGAUCGUAAAGCUCUGUUGUAAGAGAAGAACGAGUGUGAGAGUGGAAAGUUCACACUGUGACGGUAUCUUACCAGAAAGGGACGGCUAACUACGUG